rnacentral:misc_RNA from 1 species
AACCAUUCUCACCUGCGGCUAGACCUGCGGAAGGAUCAUUACAGAGAACUUGCCCGUCUGGGUAGAUCUCCCACCCUUUGUUUACUAUACCUUUGUUGCUUUGGCAAGCCUGUCUUGUGACUACUGGCCUCCAGCUAGUAAGUGCUUGCCAGAGGACCCCAAACACUUUACAUUGUGUUGUCUGAGUAGUACAGAAAUUUUUAAAACUUUCAGCAACGGAUCUCAGAUCGGAAGAGCACA